rnacentral:rRNA from 1 species
UACAGAGGGUGCGAGCGUUGUCCGGAUUCAUUGGGCGUAAAGGGUGCGUAGGCGGCGCGGUAAGUCGGGUGUGAAAUCUCGGAGCUUAACUCCGAAACUGCAUUCGAUACUGCCGUGCUUGAGGACUGGAGAGGAGACUGGAAUUUACGGUGUAGCGGUGAAAUGCGUAGAUAUCGUAAGGAAGACCAGUGGCGAAGGCGGGUCUCUGGACAGUUCCUGACGCUGAGGCACGAAGGUCAGGGGAGCAAACGGG